GACGAACGCUGGCGGCGUGCCUAAUACAUGCAAGUCGAACGCAGUGGGGACGGGUGAGUAACACGUGGGUAACAUCACAUCAGAGGGGAUAACACUUGGAAACAGGUGCUAAACCGAUACUGAUGGAUGGACCCGCGGUGCAUUAGCGAGUUGGGGAGGUAACGGCUCACAAAGGCCACGAUGCAUAGGCGACCUGAGAGGGGUAUCGGCCACACUUGGACUGAGACACGGCCCAGACUCCUACGCGAGGCAGCAGUAGUGAAUCUUCGGCAAUUGACGAAAGUCUGACCGAGCAACGCCGCGUGAGUGAAGAAGGUUUUCGGAUCGUAAAACUCUGUUGUUAGAGAAGCGGUAUCUAACCAGAAAGCCACGGCUAACUACGUGCCAGCAGCCGCGGUAAUUC
rnacentral:rRNA from 1 species